AAGUGUCGUCAGCGGCUGCCGACCAACAAAAAGAUGGUCAGUAUCUAUAAAGGUAAGUUCUAAAAAAACGACCCUAAAUGUCUGUUUUAUAACACUUUAUCGUAAAAUAAACAUUCUCAUUUUUUAGUGUGCUUUAGAAAUGCGUACAUUCACUAUAGACAGGUCUAGAUAUUAACGUUAGCACUGACGCUAAUGCUAACUUAGCACGGGAGGCGCAAGCUACCAUACAAGCUAGUGGGAUAUCAACUGCUAUUUAAAGGUAUAGUGCUCACGUAUAUGCCUUAAAAUACGUAUAUUUUUAUAACACCUUAUCAUAAAAUUAACAUUCAACUUUUAGUCUGCUUUAGAAAUGCGUACAUUCGCUAUAGACAGCUCUAGAUAUUACGUUAGCACUGACGCUAAUGCUAACUUAGCACUGGAGGCGCAAGCUACCAUACAAGCUAGUAGGAUGUCAACUGCUAUUUAAAGAUAUAGUCCUCAUGUAUAUGCCUUAAAAUACGUAUAUUAUUAUAUCAUAAGGGUUUUAAAGGUAUAGUCCUCACGUAUAUGCCUUAAAAUACGUAUAUUAUUAUGUCAUAAGGGUUUGCUUCUGUUCGGUUUUUUAUACUUUUUGUGCUGCUUAAGGCAUAAUUAUUGGUUACACCUGUUGGCCGCCAUGUUUGCUCCUUCCUCGCAUUGUUAGUAGUGUUUUAGUACCCAUCUUUCUUGGCUCAUUGUUGUGUAUAUGUAUGUGCUGCUUCCUGUUAUUCACUACCGCCAGUAUUGUGAAUGUGUUUUGAAUUAAUCUUUUUUUGUUUCCCCUCCUCCACCCGUGGCCUCAUCUUAGCUUUUGGCUCCAUUAUGGCGUGGAGCUGCGCGAUAGGAGUCCACAAGCUAGCAACGGAGUCAUGACAACCCUACUGUUUACUCUGUUGGUUUUAUAAAAACAAAAAAAUAUGUUACAAACCACAAAAACUACUUCAAUUAAAUUUUCUGAUGUAUUUCCUGUACUUUAAUGUCAUGAAUUGAAAGCGGAAGUAUUGAUUUGCAUCAAUGACAGUAAAAACAUAUUCUUCUUUGUAGGGGAAAUAAUGCUGACAUUACAACCAUUUCCUGUCUGUGAAUAGAAUUUCUCCUUUAAAUAGGGCAUUUAAUUAAUCGAUUUGGGAAUUCUGGGAUUCAUUCCACCCCCUGAAGAGAUUAGUGGCUGACCCACUGACCCACUCACUUGCCUGCUUGCUCUGCUAUUGGAAACUCCAGACGGACAACAGUCUCGAGCUGGUGUUACCAUGGCGACAAGGGGGAUGAGUUUGGGCGGAUGGGGGCUGGUGGAGAUGGCGGCCAUUUCGCACGCAGCCUCCCCACCCCCCUUCAAUGCCGAGGGAGGGAGGGAGGGCGGACGAGUCCGCUUUAGCCACAAAACCUCUGCUCUUGUUUCUGGGUCAUAUUUUGCUGUGAGUCAUCUUUUCAGGCAAAGACAGGAGGAAGGGAGGGAGAAUAUAAUGGGGGGGGUUAGAAAAAGCAGGCAGCCAGAAGAGGUGGUGUAUGUUUGUUUUGCCAUGUCGGUUGUCCCUCAGGGAUCUGUGAGCUGAUGGGAGGGAAAUGGAUUAGAGACCCGCUCUGGAGGCUGCAUCAUUACAUUACCAUCAUGGCUGGUCUGUGUGUGUUGGAUUCAUCUUUCAACACAAAGGCUCUAUUCAGAAGACGGGGAGAAAAAAAAAGUAGUGCCGUCCCACAUGUGUAUGUUAGUGGGGAAGAACAUAGCGGUCGGAACUCUUUAGUGGUGUGAUUACACAAAGAAUCAAACGGGAGAUUGUUAAUUAUGUCCUUUAUUUACACAAAAAAAUCAUAAUUUUCUGGGAACCUCAAAAUGGUUGCCAGCCAAUCACAGGGCACAUAUAGACAAACAACCAUUCACACUCACAUUCAUACCUAAGGACAAUUUUGAGUCGCCAAUUAACCUAGCAUGCAUGUUGUUGGAAUAAUUUUACUUUAUUUUAGUUUUAUUGUGUGAUAGAUUCAUUGUUGUACGCCCCCCCAAAGUGCACAUUCAUUCAUUCAUUUUCUAUUGCUUAUCCUCACAAGGGUCGCGGGCAUGCUGGAGCUUAUCCCAGCUGUCUUGGUGCGAGAGGCGGGGGAACACCCUGGACUGGUGGCCAGCCAAUCACAGGGCACAUAUAGACAAACAACCAUUCACACUCACAUUCAUACCUAUGGACAAUUUGGAGUCGCUAAUUAACCUAGCAUGUUUUUGGAAUGUGGGAGGAAACCAGAGUACCCGGAGAAAACCCACGCAUGCACGGGGAGAACAUGCAAACUCCACACGGAGAUGGCCGAGGGUGGAAUUGAACUCUGGUCUCAGAGCUGUGAGAAAGAGCUCGCCUUCAGCAAGACUCAAGAAACGCCACGACUUCGCUAUUAAAGGUAUUCCCACAGCGUAGCCGUCUCCAGGUCGUCGGCGUUGGCCUUCAACACGCCGGCGUGGUCGCCGCGGAGGUACUUGCCAUCGGCGGCGUGGCGCACGGCCAGCUUGUUGUAGUCACAGAACUCGAAAAGGAAGUCGACGGGCGUGUCGCUGCUGCUCACCACCGCCUGCUCGUUCCCGACCAUCCAGUAUUUUCCAGUGGAGUCUGCAGACAAGACGACAAAGUCAACUCAACACACCAGCUUCUCCUUUUGCUCCAAAUGGGACGACUCUCCAUAUUUAAUUUUAGCAGUUAGCUUAUAGGGCUGAUUUUUUUUUGGAAACCCCACAAAACACUAAGAUCUACUGUAUUGUGAUUUAUUCUAUAUGUAGAUAUUCAUUUAGACCUUCCAAAUAGACUUUUUAAACAUUAGAGCCCUCUAGACAUGAAAUAGCAUCCCUAUAGUCACCUUUGCACUCACUCAUUCAUUGAUUUUCUACCACUUAUCCUCACGAGGGUCGCGGGGGAUGCUGGAGCCUAUCCCAGCUGUCUUCGGGCCAGAGGCACACCCUGGACUGGAGGCCAGCCAAUCACAGGGCACAUAUAGACAAACAACCAUUCACACUCACAUUCAUACCUAUGGACAAUUUGGAGUCGCUAAUUAACCUAGCAUGUUUUUGGAAUGUGGGAGGAAACCGGAGUACCCGGAGAAAACCCACGCAUGCACGGGGAGAACAUGCAAACUCCACACAAAGAUGGCCGUGGGUGGAAUCGAACUCAGGUCUCCAGCAAAAGAGUUGUGUAAUGUCAUGAAUAAUGAAUUAUAGGAGUGUAUAAGUGACUAUAGGGGUGUUACUUCAUGUCUAGAGAGCUCUAAUAAUGUUAAAAAACACAUUUAGGAGGUUCAUUCAUUCGCGUGGGGGGUGCCUAUCCCAGCUGUCUUCGGGGCGAGCGACGGGGUACACCCUGGACUGGUGGCCGGCCAAUCACAGGGCACAUAUAGACAAACAACCAUUCACACUCACAUUCAUACUAGACCGCUGUGCCGCCCAUAUUUAGAUAUUGCAUUGCAUAAAAAUAUAUACGCACUACACUGAAUCCAAGACAUUUUAGGGUUCUUCUUGGCCCCACGCCCUGCCUCUCCAUAAACUAAGUCAUUUGCAUAAUCCUACCAAGAAACAAACGGCAAUUAAAAAAAAAAACACAUAUCCCUCUUUGGUGGCGAUAAUUAACCAAAUCAAAUCCUCCUUUUUAAGAGUCAAAUCCAUAAUGAGUACCCCCCCACCGUAUAACGGAUGUAAUCCCUUUCAUGCCUGCAGCUGAUCCAACAAGAGUACGGCACGGUGAGACACACCCACCUUGCAGGCUGUAGGCGCCGUCUCGGAACUCCAGCGCGAAGUAGUCGUAGGAGGAGCGGUUGGAGUCCAGGGUCCCCGUCACCUUCCUGCAGCCGAUGAAGCCGUGCUCGCCACGCAGCACGAUGAUGGGACGGUUGAUCAGCUUCAUGAUGAACUCCUCGGACUCGCCUGCGGCGGGUCUGGAACUGAAUGGGGAAGGAGGAAACAGCAAGAAAAACAUACCACUUCCACACCGAAUGAGAGGAGAACCUUGCCUCUUCAUCCAUGGCCGACUGAAUUCAGGCAUCACAAGAGCCAAGGAGACACGCCAUGGCUGGGAACGAGUGACAAAAAGGUUUUCCCUCAUUCCAUGUGGAAGUGGUAAGUUUUUGUCUUUGUUCAUCGGAGAGGCUAACUAAUUAGCUUGCUAUGGUCGCGUCACCCGUCUGUUGCAGUAUGUUCCUGCACUGAUCCCACAGCCUGCGCAAUGUGAUAAAGGAUAAUGGUAGUGUAAAGGUGACUAUAGGGGUGUUAUUUCAUGUCUACAGGGCUCUAAGGUUAAAAACACCCAUACAGGUUUUCUAUACUAAAAAACUAAGAAAAUAUUAUUGAAGUGGAACUUUAAUAAUGCACUGCAAUUAGAUUACUGUACACCCUACUAAUGCUGGUGUGGAGCCAGAGACCAUCAAGACCAGUCAGCGGUCACACAACGCAGACGCACAGGAAAGGAUGACCUCUUAAAGAUGCUCUCGGCCUUCCGUGUUGGCUCAAUCUGAAAAGCCACUGAACUGCAGGCUAACGGACGCUAAUCGCAACAUCCCAGCCCAUAAACGGCCUCUCUGGGAAUUUGGGACCAUCUCCAUCCAUAGCAGGGAUGGAUGGGACUCGAGCACUAAUGACAGGAAACGGCUGGGUCCAUACAGGAAUGAAUGAAAUCUGCACAGUACCACGACCUCAACCCCGUCACACACAUUUGGGAUGGACUACAAAGAUGGUCUGGAACUGAGUGGGGAAGGAGGACACAGUAAGAAAAAAACACCACUUCCACACCGAAUGAGAGGAGAACCUUGCCUCUUCAUUCAUGGCCGACUGAAUUCAGCCUCCAGGAGCUCCAGCGUGCCACCUACUGGCCACAACUGCCAACUGCACCACUUCCAGCAUCUGUGUGAAGAAUGGGAUUUCACGCCACAUCUGGUCGUGACGGGUGCUGGAGCCUAUCCCAGCUGUCUUCAGGCAAGAGGCGGGGUACACCCUGGACUGGUGGCCAGCCAAUCACAGCGCACAUAUGGCCUGGAACCAAUUCCGAGGAAUUACUGUAUGUAUAACAGCAUUUAUAGUUGCUUAUAAAUGAAAACUCAUGUCGUGCCCACUUCCUGUUACAAGAAAAACGAAGUUUAACUUUGAAUAAUUCAUAAAAAAAACAACCUCAUUUCCACCGCUUUGCCAACUUAUAAUUAAAUAGCCGGGCUUAUGUGCGGCAUUUCAACUUGAAUAAUUCAUCACAAUCCUGUGAUCAGAGUUGAUAAAAGUGGCUUUUUAAUGAACAAUUCCCGUGUACAUGAAACCCUGGCACCCGCUCAACUUUUACAUGCAAAAAACAUUGACUGACCCACUUUUACUUUUGUUACCAAAGAAACAGGCGGGAAAACAAGACAGGAAAAAAAAUUAGCCGUAUGGUGACACAUACACUCACGCAAUAUGUCUCCUCAUCCUUAUAUAACUAGCUAGCAAGCUUGGUAUGUUCCAGGUUAUCAGCUUACAAUCAGAUAAGCCAAGAAAGGCGGGCCUUCAAUUUCUCUCUUUUGCCCCCCCCCCCCUCCUCUAUUGUCCUAAUAGCCCUCUUUAUGAGAGAAGAGUGUGUAAAAAAACAGCAGGGGGGUUGCAAGCGAAUAAAAAUAAGCAGAGUAAAUUAAAGGAAUGUAAAAAAAAAAAAAGGAAGAGGAGGAGCUACACGGAAGGAGGGAUUUAGUGUUGUACCUGUCCUUACAAGGUAAACCAGACUAGGUGAUUACCUGCACUCCUCAGCCAAUCACUGCACAUUUUACCACCACACCAUAUACUGGAGAUUAGCGAGAGCUACACAAUUGUAUGGAUGUAUGAUUACGUAACAAGGGAAGCACUGUGCCUCUUGACCUACAUUUUGGGGGCCCUCUCCCGUGUCCGGCCGCUCGGGGGGGGGGGAUUCCACAUAAUAAGCCCUAACACUCAUGGAAGCCUGCACAAAUAAAGAGAAACAUAAUGUGCUGUUUUGUUUUUUUUUAAACAAGACUUUCCACUUUAAUCUCAACUCAAGAGGAAGUGAAUACCACAGCUUGUGCAAAAAACCACCUUGUCAGUUGUCGGGAACUAUGCAGAGGCUGAAACGAAGGUCUUGAUACCGAAAGGAGGAAGGAGGGAGUGGUGCUUUGUUUGGUUUUUGCAUACUUGUGAGCCGGUUUUGACAUAAAUACACACAGAUGGUACGUUCAAAUUAACAUGAGAAGCUACGCAAACAUCACAUAUAUGUUAUAUGCUAUAUCUAGUUUGCUUUAAAAAAAAAAAAAAAGUAUGAGUCAAAGGCCUUGCCUAAAACUUCCUUCCUCAUGACAAACCCGUUUGCUGACGCUGCAGCACAUACAACAGAAGAUAAAAACCCCAUUUUGCCCGCAUCCGUCCCGCACCUACGUGGAUGCAGCUAAGCCAUAAAGUCUUUACCUGCGCACGUUCACCUUAUAUGGUGCUUCAUCUUGAAGGAAGUGCCUCUUCUGCUUUGUAAAAAAAAUGCUAUAACCUCAGGGUUGAUCCAUACAGUGGAAUGCAGGUGGCGGUAUAGAGACGCAUAGAAACGCCCAUGGGGGGAAGGAGGGUUUUUUUUCCACCUUAACUUUGAACCUGUUUUUAUGUAGAAUCCACUCAUAUAGACAGAUAGCAUAAGGGAAAUAUUUUUAAAAAAUUAUCAAAAAUUAACCUACUAAUCUUUGCUCCUGAAUGACUCAUUUCAUUACGAAACAAACCUCUUCUGCACUUCCCAACGACGGAAACAGAAGUGAAAGCUUUUAAGCUGUGAAUUUCCAUGUACCGUAAUCACACACACAUACAAGAAGGUGC